rnacentral:rRNA from 1 species
GUAAGGGCGCACGGUGGAUGCCUUGGCACCAGGAGCCGAUGAAGGACGUAGGAGGCUGCGAUAAGCCUCGGGGAGCUGCCAACCGAGCUGUGAUCCGGGGAUGUCCGAAUGGGGAAACCCGGCAGGAGUCAUGUCCUGUCACCCGCACCUGAAUAUAUAGGGUGUGUGGAGGGAACGUGGGGAAGUGAAACAUCUCAUUACCCACAGGAAGAGAAAGCAACCGCGAUUCCGUGAGUAGUGGCGAGCGAAAGCGGAAGAGGCUAAACCGAUUACGCGUGAUAGCCGGCAGGCGUUGCGUGGUCGGGGUCGUGGGACCAUUCUGUCUCCUCUGCCGAGGGGGCGGGGAGUGAUAAAGCACGGCGUUAGUCGAAGCGUGUGGGAGAGCGCACCAUAGUGGGUGAAAGUCCCGUAGACGAAAACGACUGUGUCUCCCGAGUGGGAUCCCAAGUAGCACGGAGCCCGUGAAAUUCCGUGUGAAUCUGGGGGGACCACCCCCUAAGCCUGAAUACUCCCUGGUGACCGAUAGCGGACAAGUACCGUGAGGGAAAGGUGAAAAGUACCCCGGGAGGGGAGUGAAAGAGUACCUGAAACCGUGUGCCUACAAGCCGUCGGAGCCUGUGAUGGGUGACGGCGUGCCUUUUGAAGAAUGAGCCUGCGAGUUAGUGUUGUGUGGCGAGGUUAACCCGUGUGGGGAAGCCGUAGCGAAAGCGAGUCCGAACAGGGCGGUUCAGUCGCACGAUCUAGACCCGAAGCCGAGUGAUCUACCCAUGGCCAGGUUGAAGCGCGGGUAAGACCGCGUGGAGGACCGAACCCACUUCGGUUGAAAACGGAGGGGAUGAGCUGUGGGUAGGGGUGAAAGGCCAAUCAAACUCGGUGAUAGCUGGUUCUCCCCGAAAUGCAUUUAGGUGCAGCGUCACGUGUUUCUUGCCGGAGGUAGAGCACUGGAUGGUCUAGGGGGCCUAAAAGCUUACCAAAAUCAGCCAAACUCCGAAUGCCGGUAAGUGAGAGCGUGGCAGUGAGACUGCGGGGGAUAAGCUCCGUAGUCGAGAGGGAAACAGCCCAGAACACCGGCUAAGGCCCCUAAGCGUGUGCUAAGUGGGAAAGGAUGUGGAGUCGCACAGACAACCAGGAGGUUGGCUUAGAAGCAGCCACCCUUUAAAGAGUGCGUAAUAGCUCACUGGUCAAGUGGUUCCGCGCCGACAAUGUAGCGGGGCUCAAGCACACCGCCGAAGCCGUGUCAUUCAUGCGUUGUCCUGCGGGCUGGUCUUUGGCUGGUCCGCCAGGUGUGUGGAUGGGUAGGGGAGCGUCGUGUGGCCACGGAAGCGGCGGGGUGACCCAGCCGUGGAGGCCACACGAGUGAGAAUGCAGGCAUGAGUAGCGAAUGACGGGUGAGAAACCCGUCCGCCGGAUGACCAAGGGUUCCUGGGGCAGGCUAAUCCGCCCAGGGUAAGUCGGGACCUAAGGCGAGGCCGACAGGCGUAGUCGAUGGACAACGGGUUGAUAUUCCCGUACCCGCUUUGGUUCGCCCAUGGCAAGGCCAGGAGUGCUAAGGGCCGUGAUCUGAUGAAGCCUUCGGGUGGAGUCGGGGAGCCGCCCGGCCCCUGCUGGUAGUAGCCAAGCGAUGGGAUGACGCAGGAAGGUAGUCCAGCCCAGGCGUUGGUUGUCCUGGGGUAAGGGUGUAGGGCGAGUCGUAGGUAAAUCCGCGGCUCAUGUGCCUGAGACCUGAUGCCGAGCCGAUCGAGGUGAAGUGGAUGAUCCUAUGCUGCCGAGAAAAGUCUCUAGCGAGAACCAUGGCGGCCCGUACCCCAAACCGACUCAGGUGGUCAGGUAGAGAAUACCAAGGCGAUCGAGCGAACUAUGGUUAAGGAACUCGGCAAAAUACCUCCGUAACUUCGGGAGAAGGAGGGCCGGUGGCUGUGACGGGACGUGCUCCCGGGAGCGGCUGCUGGUCGCAGAGACCAGCGAGAAGCGACUGUUUACUAAAAACACAGGUCCGUGCGAAGUCGCAAGACGAUGUAUACGGACUGACGCCUGCCCGGUGCUGGAAGGUUAAGAGGAACGGUUAGCCGCAAGGCGAAGCUGAGAAUUUAAGCCCCAGUAAACGGCGGUGGUAACUAUAACCAUCCUAAGGUAGCGAAAUUCCUUGUCGGGUAAGUUCCGACCUGCACGAAUGGCGUAACGACUUCUCGACUGUCUCAACCAUAGGCUCGGCGAAAUUGCACUACGAGUAAAGAUGCUCGUUACGCGCGGCAGGACGGAAAGACCCCGGGACCUUCACUACAACUUGAUAUUGGUGUUCGGUUCGGCUUGUGUAGGAUAGGUGGGAGACUGUGAAGCUCGCACGCCAGUGCGGGUGGAGUCAACGUUGAAAUACCACUCUGGUCGAAUUGGAUGUCUAACCUCGGUCCGUGAUCCGGAUCAGGGACAGUGCCUGGUGGGUAGUUUAACUGGGGCGGUUGCCUCCCAAAAUGUAACGGAGGCGCCCAAAGGUUCCCUCAGCCUGGUUGGCAAUCAGGUGUCGAGUGCAAGUGCACAAGGGAGCUUGACUGUGAGACAGACAUGUCGAGCAGGGACGAAAGUCGGGACUAGUGAUCCGGCACUGGCUUGUGGAAGCGGUGUCGCUCAACGGAUAAAAGGUACCCCGGGGAUAACAGGCUGAUCUUGCCCAAGAGUCCAUAUCGACGGCAAGGUUUGGCACCUCGAUGUCGGCUCGUCGCAUCCUGGGGCUGGAGUAGGUCCCAAGGGUUGGGCUGUUCGCCCAUUAAAGCGGCACGCGAGCUGGGUUUAGAACGUCGUGAGACAGUUCGGUCCCUAUCCGCCGCGCGCGCAGGAGACUUGAGAAGAGCUGUCCCUAGUACGAGAGGACCGGGACGGACGAACCUCUGGUGUGACAGUUGUCCUGCCAAGGGCACCGCUGUUUAGCUACGUUCGGCAGGGAUAACCGCUGAAAGCAUCUAAGCGGGAAGCUCGCUUCAAGAUGAGGUCUCCCACAGGGUUAACCUGGUAAGGCCCCCCACGAGACCAUGGGGUUGAUAGGCCGGAAGUGGAAGCCGAGUAAUCGGUGCAGCUGACCGGUACUAAUAGGCCGAGGGCUUGAUCA